CAGUCGCCGCGGUAAUACGUAGGGUGCAAGCGUUAAUCGGAAUUACUGGGCGUAAAGCGUGCGUAGGCGGCUUCUUAAGUCGGAUGUGAAAUCCCUGAGCUUAACUUAGGAAUUGCAUUCGAUACUGGGAAGCUAGAGUAUGGGAGAGGAUGGUAGAAUUCCAGGUGUAGCGGUGAAAUGCGUAGAGAUCUGGAGGAAUACCGAUGGCGAAGGCAGCCAUCUGGCCUAAUACUGACGCUGAGGUACGAAAGCAUGGGGAGCAAACAGGAUUAGAUACCCCCGUAGUCCCUGUAUCUUAUAA
rnacentral:rRNA from 1 species